UUACAAAGCGAAACUGCGAAUGGCUCAUUAUAUAAGUUAUCGUUUAUUUGAUAGUACCUUACUACAUGGAUAACCGUGGUAAUUCUAGAGCUAAUACAUGCUGAAAAUCCCGACUUCGGAAGGGAUGUAUUUAUUAGAUUCAAAACCAAUGCCCUUCGGGGCUCCAAUGGUGAUUCAUGAUAACUUCUCGAAUCGCACGGCCCCGCGCCGGCGAUGGUUCAUUCAAAUUUCUUCCCUAUCAACUUUCGAUGCUACGGUAGUGUCCUAGCAUGGUUGCAACGGGUAACGGGGAAAGAAAUCANNUAUUCCGNGNAGCACUAAUCCAUUAGGGUAUAAUACACCUUUAAAAAUACCAUUCUAUCCAAAUCUAUUAACUUUAGAUGUUAAAGGAUUUAAUUAUGUAUUAGUAAUAUUUUUAUUUCAAAGUUUAUUUGAGCCCCNUUAUCUCAUCCAU
rnacentral:rRNA from 1 species